AUUGAACGCUGGCGGCAUGCCUUACACAUGCAAGUCGAACGGCAGCACGGGGCAACCUGGUGGCGAGUGGCGAACGGGUGAGUAAUGCAUCGGAACGUGCCAUUGAGUGGGGGAUAACGUAGCGAAAGUUGCGCUAAUACCGCAUAUUCUGUGAGCAGGAAAGCAGGGGACCGCAAGGCCUUGCGCUUUUUGAGCGGCCGAUGUCAGAUUAGCUAGUUGGUGAGGUAACGGCUUACCAAGGCGACGAUCUGUAGCGGGUCUGAGAGGAUGAUCCGCCACACUGGAACUGAGACACGGUCCAGACUCCUACGGGAGGCAGCAGUGGGGAAUUUUGGACAAUGGGCGCAAGCCUGAUCCAGCCAUGCCGCGUGAGUGAAGAAGGCCU
rnacentral:rRNA from 1 species